rnacentral:rRNA from 1 species
UACGUAGGUGGCAAGCGUUAUCCGGAAUUAUUGGGCGUAAAGCGUGCGCAGGCGGUUCGUUGUGUCUGAUGUGAAAGCCCCGGGCUCAACCUGGGAAUGGCAUUGGAAACUGGCGAGCUAGAGUGUGGCAGAGGGGGGUGGAAUUCCGCGUGUAGCAGUGAAAUUCGUAGAUAUUCGCAAGAACACCAGUGGCGAAGGCGCUCACUGGCCCGAUACUGACGCUGAGGCACGAAGGCCAGGGGAGCAAACGGG